GGGGACGUAAUGGUUUCGACGGGGGCAGAUGAUGUACAAGAAGCGAGCCGGGGGGUCAUCAACCCGUUAGUAAGGUGAACACUUUUAUUAAACAUAAAAGCUAACGAAGAUUACGCUUUAGCAGCUUAAUGCUAACCUCUUUUGUUUCUUUUCUCGCGCGAAGCAAAAAGAGGACAAUUGCGAGAUACCCAGUAUCCAAUUCUCGGAGGAUGUUGGGGAAUUUUAUCGAGAUAGGAAAAUGAAGCUUUGUUUGUGUAGAUUUGUUGACUGAAAAUUAAACACAAAAUGCGCUCGGAGAAACUUGUGCAGCAAUGUUUUCGGACAGGAGUUCGAUUCUCCUCGUCUCCACCA
rnacentral:sRNA from 1 species